rnacentral:rRNA from 1 species
GACGAACGCUGGCGGCGUGCUUAACACAUGCAAGUCGAACGCUGAAGCUCAGCUUUUGUUGGGUGGAUGAGUGGCGAACGGGUGAGUAACACGUGAGUAACCUGCCCCCUUCUUUGGGAUAACGCCCGGAAACGGGUGCUAAUACUGGAUAUUCACUGGUCUUCGCAUGGGGGUUGGUGGAAAGGGUUUUUCUGGUGGGGGAUGGGCUCGCGGCCUAUCAGCUUGUUGGUGGGGGGAUGGCCUACCAAGGCUUUGACGGGUAGCCGGCCUGAGAGGGUGACCGGUCACAUUGGGACUGAGAUACGGCCCAGACUCCUACGGGGGGCAGCAGUGGGGAAUAUUGCACAAUGGGCGCAAGCCUGAUGCAGCGACGCCGCGUGAGGGAUGGAGGCCUUCGGGUUGUGAACCUCUUUCGCUCAUGGUCAAGCCGCAACAAUGGUUGUGGUGAGGGUAGUGGGUAAAGAAGCGCCGGCUAACUACGUG